rnacentral:rRNA from 1 species
UACGAAGGGGGCUAGCGUUGUUCGGAAUUACUGGGCGUAAAGCGCACGUAGGCGGAUUGUUAAGUCAGAGGUGAAAUCCCGGAGCUCAACUUCGGAACUGCCUUUGAUACUGGCAAUCUAGAGUCCGGAAGAGGUUAGUGGAAUUCCCAGUGUAGAGGUGAAAUUCGUAGAUAUCGGGAGGAACACCGGUGGCGAAGGCGGCGACCUGGGUCGACACUGACGCUGAGGCGCGAAAGCGUGGGGAGCAAACAGG